GCCUCCGUGGCCUAAUGGAUAAGGCAUCGGUUUCCUAAACCGGGGAUUGUGGGUUCGAGUCCCACCGGAGGUG
rfam:Strongylocentrotus purpuratus Contig95243_fixed, whole genome shotgun sequence.